rnacentral:rRNA from 1 species
UACGGGAGGCAGCAGUGGGGAAUAUUGCACAAUGGGCGCAAGCCUGAUGCAGCCAUGCCGCGUGUAUGAAAAAGGCCUUCGGGUUGUAAAGUACUUUCAGUCGUGAGGAAGGUGUUAAGGUUAAUAACCUUAGCAAUUGACGUUAGCGACAGAAGAAGCACCGGCUAACUCCGUGCCAGCAGCCGCGGUAAUACGGAGGGUGCGAGCGUUAAUCGGAAUUACUGGGCGUAAAGGGCACGCAGGCGGUUAAUUAAGUUGGAUGUGAAAUCCCCGGGCUUAACCUGGGAAUGGCAUUCAAGACUGGUUAGCUAGAGUCUUGUAGAGGGGGUAGAAUUCCAUGUGUAGCGGUGAAAUGCGUAGAGAUGUGGAGGAAUACCGGUGCGAAGGCGGCCCUGGACAAAGACUGACGCUCAUGUGCGAAAGCGUGGGGAGCAAACGAGGGAUUAGAUUACC